rnacentral:rRNA from 1 species
CUACGGGAUGCUCCAGUGAGGAAUAUUGCACAAUGGGGGGAACCCUGAUGCAGCAACGCCGCGUGGAGGAUGACGCAUUUCGGUGUGUAAACUCCUUUUAUAUGUCAAGAAAAUGACGGUAGCAUAUGAAUAAGCACCGGCUAACUCCGUGCCAGCAGCCGCGGUAAUACGGAGGGUGCAUGCGUUACUCGGAAUCACUGGGCGUAAAGGAUGCGUAGGCGGGUUGGAAAGUCAGGUGUGAAAUCCUACAGCUUAACUGUAGAACUGCACUUGAAACUUCUAAUCUAGAGUAUGGGAGGGGGAGAUGGAAUUAGUGGUGUAGGGGUAAAAUCCGUAGAUAUCACUAGGAAUACCUAAAGCGAAGGCGAUCUCCUGGAACAUUACUGACGCUAAGGCGUGAAAGCGUGGGGAGCAAACAGGAUUAGAUACCCUAGUAGUC